UAGGUGUCGAAUGUCAGUGCGCGUCUCGCGCUGCUGGAAGCUUCAGCAGUAGGGAAGUGAGAAGCACUUCCUACUUCCUCACGCGCUGUUGUUCAGAGGGCCGAAUGCGGAAAACGAUGUAGUUCUGAACAACUUUUUAGGACCAAACAGCUAGACAUUUGAGGCAGAGCAGCGGGGAAUGAGCGUGAAGGAGAGAAACUGCGGGUUGAAGCUGGCCGAGCGGCUCGGAUGGCUGCGCGCGCGCGUGCGGAGCGGAGCUGAGUGACGAGGCGACUUCACACACCGGGCCUCGAGACCCUUAAACUUUAACACGGAGAACUAAACUAAACAAAACAAGGCGUCGACAUGAAGAAGCAGUUUAAUCGUGUGAAGCAGCUCGCCAACCAAACGGUUGGAAGAGCGGAGAAAACAGAAGUCUUAAGUGAUGACCUUCUACAGAUUGAGCGCCGCAUGGAGAUUGUGCGGUUGGUCUCGCAUAAUGCCUACAAGAAGUUGGCAUCAUGUAUGCAGGGCCAUGUUGGAACAGAUGUGGAAAAGAGACACAAAAAGCUGCCUCUGAUGGCCCUCUCUCAGGCCAUGGUGGAUGGAGGCACUCAGUUAGGAGAAGAGUGCAUGAUUGGAAAGAUGAUGGAGGUGUGUGGAGAAGCUGAAAGUAAGCUCGCCUAUGAGCAGAGCCAGCAUGAAGUCCAGCUUGAAAGGGAAGUCCUGGAACCACUUAACCAGCUAGCAGAGUUUGACAUUCCUAAUAUUAUGAAGCAGAGAAAGCAGCUAGCUAAGCUUGUACUGGACUAUGAUUCUGCAAAGGCGAGAUAUCACCAGGCCAAUAAAGCAAUUCUCACAGCUACAAACAACCAGGCAAUGGCUGCUAAAGCAGACUCCUGUAAAGAAGAGAUGGAUGAAGCCCACAACAAAGUGGAGAUAUGUAAGGAUCAACUGGCUGCUGAUAUGUACAACUUCUCCUCCAAGGAGGGAGAAUAUGCACGUUAUUACGUCAUGUUGUUAGAGGAACAAGCUGAAUACCACAGACGCUCUCUGGCUUGCAUUGAAUGCGUCCUUCCUGCUAUCAGAUCACAGCAAGACACAUGGAUGGAGAAGCCAGCAUUUGGUACAGCACUUGAGGAGCACCUUAAGCGCAGUAACCGAGAGAUUGCUCUGCCUAUAGAGGCCUGUGUGAUGAUGCUGUUGGAAACAGGCAUGAAAGAGGAGGGAUUAUUUCGUAUUGCUGCAGGAGCCUCUAAACUAAAGAAGCUCAAAGCAGCAUUGGAUUGUUCAACUUCUCAGCUGGAGGAGUUCUACUCAGACCCUCACGCUGUAGCUGGAGCCCUGAAGUCAUACCUGAGGGAGUUGCCUGAACCACUGAUGACCUUCCAGAUGUAUGAUGAGUGGAUUCAAGCCUCAAAUGUUGCUGAUCCAGAUAAAAGACUGCAAGCAUUGUGGGUGACGUGUGACAGUUUGCCAAAGGCCAACAAGGCUAACCUGAAAUAUCUGGUGAAGUUUCUGGCCAAGCUAGCUCAGGAGAGUGAUGUCAAUAAGAUGACCCCAAGCAACAUCGCCAUUGUACUGGGACCAAAUUUGCUGUGGGCCAAAACUGAGGGGACUCUUGCUGAAAUGGCAGCUGCUACUUCAGUCCAUGUGGUGGCGAUUAUUGAGCCCAUCAUCCAGCAUGCUGACUGGUUUUUCCCAGAAGAUGUGGAAUUCAAUGUGUCAGGAGUGUUUGUGAUGCCCACUGGCCCCAUGCACCAGUCUGGACACACUGUUACCACCGAGCCUGAAUAUGCCACUAUAGAGCGGAGGCGCCCGGGCAGCCUGGGGGGAUUGGAACCCGAGACUCCCCGCAAAGACAGCCUCACUAGCAAACAUCCGGAGCAUGCACCUCGUAGAACUGCCACUCUAAAUAGAAAGCAGCAGCAGCAGCACACCUCUCCAGCCUUCCAGCCCCCUCUUCCUCCAGUGGAGGCAGGGGGGGUCCCAGCGUCCGAGCCCUUAUCUCAAUCAGCUGUAGGGGGCUCGGAGGCUGGAGCUAUAACGGCUCAGACCCAGCAGCAAUCUGCUGAAGAGAGCAGUGUUGGGCGAGAGCCAACCUCCACACCUCCUCCCCUGAGAAAUGGCCCUGGAGGCUCCAGUGGAUCUCCUGGGCAGCUGAACAUAGGGACGCCAACAUCUGCUUCCAAGGGCCCCAGUCCACACUUGAUGCGCAGAGGUACAAAGAAACAGGCCCCUGCACCACCUAAAGUGGCUCCCAGCCCCUCUUGCUCAGCAACUACACCCUUGAAGGCCACACCCCCAUCCUCUAUACAGGUCCAAUACCAAACCCCUGUCGCGACUAUUGUCCAGCCUGUAACCUUACCUCGCCGCCAGUCCAAUAACCAGAUGCCCAUCCAUGCCCCAAGUCACCCUCCUCCUCAGCCUCCACAGAAUGCAGCAGACCCAGAGCCAUCCCCUCCCAACAGCCCCACUCCUCCUGACACCCCCCCACAUGACUCCACCCACUCUGCUUCUAUGUCCCGCCCUCGACCAGUUCCCAGACCACGGCCCAGACCCAGUGUACCACCGCCGCCCCAGCCUCCCAGUGAGAGCACUAAUGGAGUGUGUAACUCUGCUUCCAAGAUUAUCACAGGUUGAGGAUCUUAUCCUGGCCAAGAUGUGUGACCUGCCUGUGAACUAAGAGUUGAAUGGCAGGCUAUGAUGUGGCCGUGACAUUGAAGGGGUCCGGGCGGCUCCUUGUCCCGCAUAUAGCUGUGGAACAGCCUGUGACUACACCACCUGAAGCUGAGAACCAAUCAGAGAGCACCAUCUUUUAAGAAGUAGAUGAAACACCUCCUCAACACGCAGCCAAUCACUCCCUAUAUUGCUGUUUUGAGGCAGAGCGAUGCUCUGUAGACAAUCCUCGAACUCUGGGGUCUUCUGGGAAGGAGGGAGGGAGCUUUUUAGACGCUGUUACUGUUUCAACAUUUGCUGACAUAUUGAAGCUUGAGGUAAGCAAUUAAACAUGCUGUAUACUUGUACCAAUAUCACAAACUGUAACCUCUCUCUCGUGCCAGAAAGUUUCCAGUUGUUAGGCUUUAACUUUACAAUUUUUUCAUGCUUUUGAAUUGUAUUGUGAACUGCAUACAUGCGUAUUAUUACUUGAGAGUGUUUGACUGCAUAACUAAGGGAACAGCCAAAAACAGUGUGAGCUUCGUCAAUGAAGUUCUCUUUCCCUCUGAAUUCUCUGUGCUGCCUUGUGUCUGUUAUCAUUCUAUUUUAUUCCUGUCAGCCAUCUUUAUUUUAAACUUUCAGCUACUGAGAGUGCAGGAUUUCAUUUUGACUGCCUGAGAGAUAAUCGAGUGAUUUCUAAACAGACCAAAAAUCUUUUAUAGGAAACGUUUCAUAGAGAAAAACUAUGGAAAUGCAGUGUAUGGCUAAAUAUCAAGUAUUGAUUUUUAAGUACUUUUAUUCAUGUGGUGCAAUAUUGAUUGCAGUUUAGACCUCCUUCUUCUUUUUUCUUACAAAUGAGACAAUCGCAAAUUUGAUGCACAGGAAAAGAGGAAAUGGACCAAAUAUUACAGCAAUAAAUUCACACAUCUCACAUAUCAGUUAAACAUUAUUUAAAGUGGAUAUCUACACCGUGUCAGUGAUCGUUUCCAUCCGUAUGCAUUGUUUUUGCUUUAAUAAAUGACCUGAAAUGUAAGUGCAACUGCCACAAAGCUAUUUCUUAUUAUAAUGUGUCUCCUGACUCUGCUGUUCAGUACAGAUUAUUGGAUGUUUUAGGGAGAAAUGCUACACAACAUUGAUGUCUUCCAUAAAGGACCCAAUACUAAAUUCCCAGCUAGACUGAAAUGAUCUCAUUUGAUUUUGUUUGAAAUUUCUUUAUUACAUUCUGUGCUUGUAAAUUUUGGUGUUAUUUUUAAGGAUGACAGUCAAGUAUAAAUGUUGGGUGAAUAGGUGUAGAGUUCAGUUUUGCUCAGGAAAUAGCAACUCAGAAAUAUUAGUCAUUCAUCCAUUUAAUUACUGACAUCUUUUUUGUUGUUUUUUGCAGCAGGCUAAUUUUAAAUGACUUCAGAUCUUGUAAAUGUUGAUUUGUAUUUUUUGUUUCGUUUUUCUUUUUCUUUUGUACUGGGUGCACCUUUUUUUGCAGCUCUUUCCCAGCUGGUUCUGCACAUCUCUCAAAGCAAAGAUAAUCUGGUCUGUUGUACUGAUUACUGCUGUAUUUCCUAUACAGCAAGUGGAAUGACAUACAAUUACCUAAUAAAAUUCCAUUCAAUGAGAAAAAUACAA